ACCCCUGCAAAAAGCAGAACCACCCUGAAC
rnacentral:rRNA from 1 species